AUUGAACGCUGGCGGAAUGCUUUACACAUGCAAGUCGAACGGCAGCACGGGGGCAACCCUGGUGGCGAGUGGCGAACGGGUGAGUAAUACAUCGGAACGUGCCCGGUCGUGGGGGAUAACGUAGCGAAAGUUACGCUAAUACCGCAUACGAUCUGAGGAUGAAAGCGGGGGACCUUCUGGCCUCGCGCGAUCGGAGCGGCCGAUGUCAGUUUAGGGAGUGGGUGGGGUAAAGGCCUACCAAGCCGACGAUCUGUAGCUGGUCUUAGAGGACGACCAGCCACACUGGGACUGAGACACGGCCCAGACUCCUACGGGAGGCAGCAGUGGGGAAUUUUGGACAAUGGGCGCGAGCCUGAUCCAGCCAUUCCGCGUGCAGGACGAAGGCCUUCGGGUUGUAAACUGCUUUUGUAUGGAGCGAAAAGGGUCUGGCUAAUACCUGGGGUUCAUGACGGUACCGUAAGAAUAAGCACCGGCUAACUACGUG
rnacentral:rRNA from 1 species